AUUGAACGCUGGCGGCAGGCCUAACACAUGCAAGUCGAACGAGUGGCGGACGGGUGAGUAAUGUCUGGGAAACUGCCCGAUGGAGGGGGAUAACUACUGGAAACAGUAGCUAAUACCGCAUACCAUCGGAUGUGCCCAUAUGGGAUUCGCUAGUAGGUGGGGUAACGGCUCACCUAGGCGACGAUCCCUAGCUGGUCUGAGAGGGUGACCUGCCACACUGGAACUGAGACACGGUCAAGACUCCUCCGGGAGGCAGCAUUGGGGAAUAUUGCACAAUGGGGGCAGGCCUGAUGCAGCCAUGCCGCGUGUAUGAAGAAGGCCUUCGGUUUGUAAAGUAAUUUCAGCGAGGAGGCGUUACUCGCAGAAGAAGCACCGGCUAACUCCGUGCCAGCAGCCGCGGUAAUUC
rnacentral:rRNA from 1 species